rfam:Tstilago hordei, Th4857-4, WGS project CAGI01000000 data, contig: THOR_scaffold_5.00006
GGGGGUUUAGCUCAGUUGGUAGAGCGUUCGCUUAGCAUCCUGUCUAAUUUGCGAAAGGUCGCGUGUUCGACUCAUGCAGUCUCCA